AGCUUGCUACCCGCUGACGAGCGGCGGACGGGUGAGUAAUGCAUAGGAAUUUACCCGAUAGUGGGGGAUAACCUGGGGAAACCCAGGCUAAUACCGCAUACGUCCUACGGGAGAAAGGGGGCUUCGGCUCCCGCUAUCGGAUGAGCCUAUGCCGGAUUAGCUGGUUGGUGAGGUAAUGGCUCACCAAGGCGACGAUCCGUAGCUGGUCUGAGAGGAUGAUCAGCCACAUCGGGACUGAGACACGGCCCGAACUCCUACGGGAGGCAGCAGUGGGGAAUAUUGGACAAUGGGCGCAAGCCUGAUCCAGCCAUGCCGCGUGUGUGAAGAAGGCCCUCGGGUUGUAAAGCACUUUCAGCGAGGAAGAACGCCUGGCGAUUAAUACCCGCCAGGAAAGACAUCACUCGCAGAAGAAGCACCGGCUAACUCCGUGCCAGCAGCCGCGGUAAUACGGAGGGUGCAAGCGUUAAUCGGAAUUACUGGGCGUAAAGCGCGCGUAGGUGGCUUGAUAAGCCGGUUGUGAAAGCCCCGGGCUCAACCUGGGAACGGCAUCCGGAACUGUCAGGCUAGAGUGCAGGAGAGGAAGGUAGAAUUCCCGGUGUAGCGGUGAAAUGCGUAGAGAUCGGGAGGAAUACCAGUGGCGAAGGCGGCCUUCUGGACUGACACUGACACUGAGGUGCGAAAGCGUGGGUAGCAAACAGGAUUAGAUACCCUGGUAGUCCACGCCGUAAACGAUGUCGACCAGCCGUUGGGUGCCUAGCGCACUUUGUGGCGAAGUUAACGCGAUAAGUCGACCGCCUGGGGAGUACGGCCGCAAGGUUAAAACUCAAAUGAAUUGACGGGGGCCCGCACAAGCGGUGGAGCAUGUGGUUUAAUUCGAUGCAACGCGAAGAACCUUACCUACUCUUGACAUCCUGCGAACUGGUGAGAGAUCACUGGGUGCCUUCGGGAGCGCAGAGACAGGUGCUGCAUGGCUGUCGUCAGCUCGUGUUGUGAAAUGUUGGGUUAAGUCCCGUAACGAGCGCAACCCUUGUCCUUAUUUGCCAGCACGUAAUGGUGGGAACUCUAAGGAGACUGCCGGUGACAAACCGGAGGAAGGUGGGGACGACGUCAAGUCAUCAUGGCCCUUACGAGUAGGGCUACACACGUGCUACAAUGGCCGGUACAAAGGGCGGCGAGCUCGCGAGAGUCAGCGAAUCCCUUAAAGCCGGUCUCAGUCCGGAUCGGAGUCUG
rnacentral:rRNA from 1 species